CGUUAAUCGGAAUUACUGCUAAAGCGUGCGCAGGCGGUUCGGAAAGAAAGAUGUGAAAUCCCAGAGCUUAACUUUUUUGGAACUGCAUUUAACUACUGAGCGAGAGGUGUUGAGGGAGGUGGAAUUCUGCGUAGCAGCAAUGCGUAGGAGGAACACCGAUGGCGAAGGCACCUGGGAUAACACUGACGCUCAUGCACGAAAGCGUGGGAGCAAACAGGAUUAGAUACCCUGGUAGUCCACGCCCUAAACGAUGUCAACUAGUUGUUGGGGCCUUCGGGCCUUGGUAGCGCAGCUAACGCGUGAAGUUGACCGCCUGGGGAGUACGGUCGCAAGAUUAAAACCAAAGGAAUUGACGGGGACCCGCACAAGCGGUGGAUGAUGUGGAUUAAUUCGAUGCAACGCGAAAAACCUUACUCUAAAUUUUUGACAUGUCUGGAAUCCCGAAGAGAUUUGGGAGUGCCUGCAAGAGAACCGGAACACAGGUGCUGCAUGGCUGUCGUCAGCUCGUGUCGAGAUGUUGGGUUAAGUCCCGCAACGAGCGCAACCCUUGUCAUUAGUUGCUACGAAAGGGCACUCUCAUCGAGACUGCCGGUGACAAACCGGAGGAAGGUGGGGAUGACGUCAAGUCCUCAUGGCCCCGGCGGUAGGGCUUCACACGUCAUACGGUCGGGACAGAGGGUCGCCAACCUCGGGGCGAGGGGGAGCCAUCCCAGAAACCCGAUCGUAGUCCGGAUCGCAGUCUGCAACUCGACUGCGGAAGUCGGAACUGCUAGUAAUCGCGGAUCAGCAUGUCGGUGAAUACGUUCCCGGGUCUCGUACACACCGCCCGUCACACCAUGGGAGUGGGUUUUACCAGAAGUAGUUAGCCUAACCGUAAGGAGGGCGAUUACCACGGUAGGAUUCAUGACUGGGGUGAAGUCAACAAGGUAG
rnacentral:misc_RNA from 1 species